rnacentral:rRNA from 1 species
ACGUAGGUGGCAAGCGUUGUCCGGAUUUACUGGGCGUAAAGAGCGCGCAGGCGGUCGUUUAAGUCGAAUGUGAAAGCCCCCGGCUCAACUGGGGAGGGUCAUUCGAUACUGAUCGACUUGAAGGCAGGAGAGGGAAGUGGAAUUCCGGGUGUAGUGGUGAAAUGCGUAGAUAUCAAGAGGAACACCUGCGGCGAAGGCGGGUUGCUGGGCUGACACUGACGCUGAAGCGCGAAAGCCAGGGGAGCGAACGGGA